UACAGAGACUGCAAGCGUUAUUCGGAUUCACUGGGCGUAAAGGGUGCGCAGGUGGCCGUAUGUGUGAGGCGUGAAAGCCCGGGGCUUAACCCCGGAAUUGCACCUCAAACUACAUGGCUAGAGCAUUGGAGAGGGUAGCGGAAUUCACGGUGUAGCAGUGAAAUGCGUAGAUAUCGUGAGGAACACCAGAGGCGAAGGCGGCUACCUGGACAAUUGCUGACACUCAGGCACGAAAGCGUGGGGAGCAAAAGGG
rnacentral:rRNA from 1 species